CUCCAGUGUGGGAGGUCUCAGUCUACCUCGACAACAACGUGGUGUUUACAGAGCCAUUAUACAGGGACAUGACCGUGAGAGACUUCAAGCGUCACAUCACUCUAAAGGUUCAUACACUUGGAGUAGGUGACUUUGACCUGCUGGACAGGUCAAAUAUGCUCAUCCCAGAGCAUGUCCACAUUGUGAACAACAACAUUGAUGCAGUCAAGAUACAGAGGGUACGUCAGAACACUGUUCAAGUCUCAGAGUCAUCAUGGAGAGCUGACCUUUUCUAGAGUCAUGAUUACAGAUGGAGACACAGUAUUCAUGGAUGUUACUCCAUUUCAUGUCUUCGAAAUCACUAUUAUUCUCGUGACAUGUGUCUGGCAAUGAAGAGCUAGACUUCUUUAGUCUUGUUUGGCUGUGUACAUGUCCAUGGGCCAGACCGUAUGAGUCAUACCAUAGGUUAGGAAAGAUAGGGUUAAAGAAUUUAACUUAAGUAGAGUAGUCGAGGGGACAUACUGUAAAUCUAUACAUGAAAUUUGCAGUUGAAAUAAUUGUGUAUGUUCAGUAGAAAUGCAGUUGUUGUGUGUUUGUCAUAUUUUUGUAGUGGAGAGGUCACCGUAAAAACUGAACAUCGCAAAAAUUUCAAGAUGUACAGUACACAAGUAUGUCUUGGUAUUUCUGAAUGGAAAUUUAUACAGGCUUUCAUACACAAUACAAAAGCUGUAAUAGAUGUAUGGUUUAUUAUGAACAAUGAAAUUAAGUCAAUUCAAGCUACAUGGUAACAUUUUCCUUGCCUGUUAUUGAAAAUGUUGACUAUCAAGCCAGCAGAUCUAUACCAUAUCAAAUGUAAAUGGAUUUGUACAUGUACAUUUAUCUCCCUUGGUGCCUUGGUAUAAUAAUAGUGAACUAAACAACCACUACCAUCCAUGUAGUUCAGUGCAUAAUGCUCCUGACCAUAUUAUCGCGAUAGUUCUAAGUUAUACUGUGUUAGGAAAUGGAUCCUAUCUUAACCUACUUCAUUUGCAUGUACAGCACAAUGCUCUACUUUUAUCCUUGGCCAGUCCAUGUGCUCUCAACAUUACAGUAACAGAUAAUAUGAGAAUGUGCCAUAUCAUAAAUGUCUCUCAUUCAACUGCCGUUAGACAUUCA